GUUUCCGUAGGUGAACGGUUCGCCUGCUGGAAGCCCCCGCAACGACUCUAUAAAGAAAUGCAUCAGUCCCCCCAUACAGGGUCGGCAACGCCAUCAAUCUGCGCUGGAAGUCCCCGAACCGGGGCCAUCGGCAGCUCCAUGCGUCGCUCUGGAGUUCACAGAUCAAACGAUAGCGGCCGCUUCGGCGGUUGAGAUAUGAUCGGCCUCGGCUGUCACCAGUCAAGAACGUGCGGAACCUGCGGAAGGAUCAUUACUGAGAGAGGGGCUCCGCGCUCCCGGGGGCUCCGGCCCCCAACUCUUCACCCGUUGUCUACCUACCUUCGUUGCUUUGGCGGGCCUCGGGUACCAUCCUGUGCCGGCCCAGCGGUCGGCGAGCGCCCGUCGGAGUCCCAUGAAAUUCUCCUCUAUCAGUGACGUCCGAGCGAAAACACAAUAAUCAAAACUUUCAACAACGGAUCUCUUGGUUCCAGCAUCGAUGAAGAACGCAGCGAAAUGCGAUAACUAAUGUGAAUUGCAGAAUUCAGUGAAUCAUCGAGUCUUUGAACGCACAUUGCGCCCCUCGGUAUUCCGGGGGGCAUGCCUGUUCGAGCGUCAUUACACCCCUCAAGCGUAGCUUGGUAUUGGGCCUCGCUCCCGCGGCGUGCCCGAAAAGCAGUGGCGGUCCGGCGUGACUUUAAGCGUAGUAAAACCUCAUCCCGCUUUGAAAGUCUGCCCCGCGACCGGCCAGACAACCCCAACAUUUUAACCAUUGACCUCGGAUCAGGUAGGGAUACCCGCUGAACUUAAGC
rnacentral:rRNA from 1 species